rnacentral:rRNA from 1 species
AGUGAACGCUGGCGGUAGGCCUAACACAUGCCAGUCGAACGGCAGCACAGUAAGAGCUUGCUCUUACGGGUGGCGAGUGGCGGACGGGUGCGGAAUACAUCGGAAUCUACUUUUUCGUGGGGGAUAACGUAGGGAAACUUACGCUAAUACCGCAUACGACCUACGGGUGAAAGCAGGGGAUCUUCGGACCUUGCGCGAUUGAAUGAGCCGAUGUCGGAUUAGCUAGUUGGCGGGGUAAAGGCCCACCAAGGCGACGAUCCGUAGCUGGUCUGAGAGGAUGAUCAGCCACAAUGGAACUGAGAAACGGUCCAGACUCCUACGGGAGGCAGCAGUGGGGAAUAUUGGACAAUGGGCGCAAGCCUGAUCCAGCCAUACCGCGUGGGUGAAGAAGGUCUUCGGGUUGUAAAGCCCUUUUGUUGGGAAAGAAAAGCAGCAGGUUAAUACCCCGCUGUUCUGACGGUACCCAAAGAAUAAGCACCGGCUAACUUCGUG